AGCUCCAAUAGCGUAUAUUAAAGUUGUUGCAGUUAAAAAGCUCGUAGUUGGACCUGUGGUGGUUGCCUGCCUCCCUUCACUAUGUGGAGGUGCGGAGCAAGUGACCCCAUGCUUGGAGCGGAAGCUGUGUGGCAUUAAGUUGUCGUGCAGGGGAAGCCCAUCGUUUACUGUGAAAAAAUUAGAGUGUUCAAAGCAGGCUUGUGCCUAUGAAUAUAUUAGCAUGGAAUAAUGAGAUAGGACCUUGGUACUAUUUUGUUGGUUUGUGCACCAAGGUAAUGGUUAACAGGGACAGUUGGGGGUAUUCGUAUUCCAUUGUCAGAGGUGAAAUUCUUGGAUUUUUGGAAGACGAACGACUGCGAAAGCAUUUACCAAGGAUGUUUUCAUUAAUCAAGAACGAAAG
rnacentral:rRNA from 1 species